AUACGGAGGGUGCGAGCGUUAAUCGGAAUUACUGGGCGUAAAGCGUACGUAGGCGGUUUGCUAAGUCAGAUGAGAAAGCCCCGGGCUUAACCUGGGAACUGCAUUUGAUACUGGCAGACUAGAGUAUGAUAGAGGGGGGUAGAAUUCCUGGUGUAGCGGUGAAAUGCGUAGAUAUCAGGAGGAAUACCAGUGGCGAAGGCGGCCCCCUGGAUCAAUACUGACGCUGAGGUACGAAAGCGUGGGGAGCGAACAGGAUUAGAAACCCUAGUAGUCC
rnacentral:rRNA from 1 species